UGAAAUUUUAAACUUUCCAAAGAUCCAGAAAUGGGCCUUCCUGUUCUUUGUUAACUCAAACCUUCGCUGUGAAGGCGGUUGUAAGUUUUCUCAGGCUCACCGGUUGUUUGCUCUGUAGUGAGGGUAAGUUAGUGCUAAAGCAGUUUCAAACUCUGACUCCUGAAUAAUGAGAAGUUUAAAACCUACGAUUUUUAGUGCAGUCUU
rnacentral:lncRNA from 1 species